rnacentral:rRNA from 1 species
UACAGAGACUGCAAGCGUUAUUCGGAAUCACUGGGCGUAAAGCGCACGUAGGCGGAUUCUUAAGUCAGGGGUGAAAUCCCGAGGCUCAACCUCGGAACCGCCUUUGAUACUGGGGAUCUCGAGUCCGGGAGAGGUGAGUGGAAUUGCGAGUGUAGAGGUGAAAUUCGUAGAUAUUCGCAAGAACACCAGUGGCGAAGGCGGCUCACUGGCCCGGAACUGACGCUGAGGUGCGAAAGCGUGGGGAGCAAACAGG